rnacentral:rRNA from 1 species
CCUACGGGUGGCAGCAGUGGGGAAUAUUGGACAAUGGGGGGAACCCUGAUCCAGCCAUGCCGCGUGUGUGAAGAAGGCCCUCGGGUUGUAAAGCACUUUCAGUGAGGAAGAACGCCUGGUGGUUAAUACCCAUCAGGAAAGACAUCACUCACAGAAGAAGCACCGGCUAACUCCGUGCCAGCAGCCGCGGUAAUACGGAGGGUGCGAGCGUUAAUCGGAAUUACUGGGCGUAAAGCGCGCGUAGGUGGCUUGAUAAGCCGGUUGUGAAAGCCCCGGGCUCAACCUGGGAACGGCAUCCGGAACUGUCAAGCUAGAGUGCAGGAGAGGAAGGUAGAAUUCCCGGUGUAGCGGUGAAAUGCGUAGAGAUCGGGAGGAAUACCAGUGGCGAAGGCGGCCUUCUGGACUGACACUGACACUGGGGUGCGAAAGCGUGGGUAGCAAACAGGAUUAGAUACCCGAGUAGUC